AUUGAACGCUGGCGGCAGGCCUAACACAUGCAAGUCGAGCGGAUGAAGGCAGCUUGCUCCUGGAUUCAGCGGCGGACGGGUGAGUAAUGCCUAGGAAUCUGCCUGGUAGUGGUGGAUAAUGUCUGGAAACGGGCGCUAAUAACGCAUAAUACCUGAGGGAGAAAGAGGGGGAUGGUCGGACCGCACGCGCUGAGGUGAGCCUAGGUCGGGUUAGCUAGUUGGUGGGGUGAGGGCCUACCAAGCCGACGAUCCGUAAGUUGUCUGAUAGGAUGAUCAGUCACACUGGAACGGGAACACGGUCCAGGCGACUGAGGGAGGGAACAGUGGGGAAUAUUGGACAAUGGGCGAAAGCAUGAUCCAGCCAUGCCGCGUGUGUGAAGAAGGUCUUCGGAUUGUAAAGCACGUUAAGGUGUGAGGAAGGGCAGUAAGUUAAUACCUUGCUGUUUUGACGUUACCAACAGAAUAAGCACCGGCUAACUUCGUG
rnacentral:rRNA from 1 species